CCGCAGUCGAGGUCAGCAGAACACCAUCCUCACCAUACACGGUGUUGAUAGUGCACUGCUUCCCCUUCCUGAGACGGCGGAUGGUGGUCCAGAAUUGCUUCGAAGCCGUCCGGAAGUCGUUUUCCAUGGCUUCCCCGAACUCCUCCCAUGUCCGAGUUUUUGCCUCCGCGACCGCUGAAGCCGCACACCGCUUGGCCUGUCGGUACCUGUCCGCUGCCUCAGGAGUCCCAUGAGCCAAAAGAACCCGAUAGGACUCCUUCUUCAGCUUGACGGCAUCCCUCACCGCCGGUGUCCACCAACGGGUUCUAUCAUAUAACAACAAAAAAAAAGACAUACAAAAGUGGAAUAAAAGAGCAAGGAGGUGAAAUGUGACGAGGAAAAAGUUGCAAUGUUGACUCGAAUAACACAAAGCUGACAUGCAGGCUGUCAUGGCUCAAAAAUAAUAAUGAAUCAAAAACAAUGUUGUUAUGAAUUAUUGACCUGUUUUGGUCUCCAACAAAUAUUACACUUUGAAAUAUUUUUUUGGCGAAAAUAUUUCAUAUUUUGAGCGUACUUUUGGCAAAAAGAGCAUAAAACAAACACACACAAAAAUAUAGAAAAAUAAUAACUACUUAUAAUGGAGGGAUACAGCUGAAGUUGAUCUAGAGAUUUAAGUGUUGAAGGUUUAGUGUUGAAAGUUUUGCUCAAAAAAUAGUGAAGAUGUCAGCUGCUUCUAAGGGGAGGGGGUCAUAAACAGCUGCUGCACUGGGUCAUAUACAGUUCCAACAAAAAGGUGCUUGGAGCGGUGUCGGGUUUGCCUCCUCUCCGCUCAUAGAUUCCGGGUCCUUCCUGUGGCUGUCCAAUAGAUCAAAGAAACCGACACCUCUAAGCAUACUUCUAAGAUGGCACCAAGUAAUUCCAUGAUAAUGAAAUUAAAAAAGUACGGAAUUUCUUAAAAUGCUAGCAUGCUAACAUUAGCAUGUUAAAAUUAGCACACAGACAUUAGCAUCCUAAGGGAACCAGCUAGCAUACAUAUAAGAUGGCGCCAAAAAAUAUGGCUUACUUUAACACUUUUUUUUUAAUGUUUUGAUUUUAUGAGUGGGUCCCUUAUGGAUACCGGAUCAUUUUUGUGGGAUUUUUUUUUUUUUUUUUAAACUGUCAUUGCUCAAAAAAUAAUAAUGAAUCAAAAUCAAUGUUAUGAAUUAUUGACCUAUUUAAUGCUCCAAAUAGUUCACAUCAAAUAUUACACUUUGAAAUAUUUUUGGGGGAAAUAUUGCAUAUUUUGAGUGUUUGCCAUAACAAAAAGAAGUUCAUGUUGGCAAAAAAAAAAGCAUAAAACAAACACAAAAAAAAAAGAUUGAAAAAUAAUAAAUACUGGUACUUAUAAUCGAUAGAUGCAGCUGAAGUUGAUCUAGAGAUUUAAGUGUUGAAAGUUUAGUGUUGAAAGUUUUGCUCAAAAAAUAGUGAAGAUGUCAGCUGCUUCUAAGGGGAGGGGGUAAUAAACAGCUGCUGCACUGGGUCAUAAACAGUUCCAACAAAAAAGGUGCUUGGAGCGGUGUCGGGUUUGCCUCCUCUCUGCUCGUAGAUUCCGGGUCCUUCCUGUGGCUGUCCAAUAGAUCAAAGAAACCGACACCUCUAAGCAUACUUCUAAGAUGGCACCAAGUAAUUCCAUGAUAAUGAAAUUAAAAAAGUACGGAAUUUCUUAAAAUGCUAGCAUGCUAACAUUAGCAUUUUAAAAUUAGCACACAAACAUUAGCAUCCUAAGGGAACCAGCUAGCAUACAUAUAAGAUGGCGCCAAAAAAUAUGGCUUACUUUAACACUUUUUUUUUUAAUGUUUUGAUUUUAUGAGUGGGUCCCUUAUGGAUAUCGGAUCAUUUUUGUGGGAUUUUUUUUUUUUUAAACUGUCAUUGCUCAAAAAAUAAUAAUGAAUCAAAAUCAAUGUUAUGAAUUAUUGACCUAUUUAAUGCUCCAAAUACUUCACAUCAAAUAUUACACUUUGAAAUAUUUUUUGCCGAAAAUAUUUCAUAUUUUGAGCGUACUUUUGGCAAAAAGAGCAUAAAACAAACACACACAAAAAUAUAGAAAAAUAAUAACUACUUAUAAUGGAGGGAUACAGCUGAAGUUGAUCUAGAGAUUUAAGUGUUGAAGGUUUAGUGUUGAAAGUUUUGCUCAAAAAAUAGUGAAGGUGUCAGCUGCUUCUAAGGGGAGGGGGUCAUAAACAGCUGCUGCACUGGGUCAUAAACAGUUCCAACAAAAAAGGUGCUUGGAGCGGUGUCGGGUUUGCCUCCUCUCUGCUCGUAGAUUCAGGGUCCUUCCUGUGGCUGUCCAAUAGAUCAAAGAAACCGACACCUCUAAGCAUACUUCUAAGAUGGCACCAAGUAAUUCCAUGAUAAUGAAAUUAAAAAGUACGGAAUUUCUUAAAAUGCUAGCAUGCUAACAUUAGCAUGUUAAAAUUAGCACACAAACAUUAGCAUCCUAAGGGAACCAGCUAGCAUACAUAUAAGAUGGCGCCAAAAAAUAUGGCUUACUUUAACACUUUUUUUUUUAUGUUUUGAUUUUAUGAGUGGGUCCCUUAUGGAUACCGGAUAAUUUUUGUGGGAUUUUUUUUUUUUUAAACUGUCAUUGCUCAAAAAAUAAUAAUGAAUCAAAAUCAAUGUUAUGAAUUAUUGACCUAUUUAAUGCUCCAAAUACUUCACAUUAAAUAUUACACUUUGAAAUAUUUUUGGCGGAAAUAUUGCAUAUUUUGAGUGUUUGCCAUAACAAAAAGAAGUUCAUGUUGGCAAAAAAAAAAAGCUUAAAACAAACACAAAAAAAAAAAAGAUUGAAAAAUAAUAAAUACUGGUACUUAUAAUCGAUGGAUGCAGCUGAAGUUGAUCUAGAGAUUUAAGUGUUGAAAGUUUAGUGUUGAAAGUUUUGCUCAAAAAAUAGUGAAGAUGUCAGCUGCUUCUAAGGGGAGGGGGUCAUAAACAGCUGCUGCACUGGGUCAUAAACAGUUCCAACAAAAAAGGUGCUUGGAGCGGUGUCGGGUUUGCCUCCUCUCUGCUCGUAGAUUUCGGGUCCUUCCUGUGGCUGUCCAAUAGAUCAAAGAAACCGACACCUCUAAGCAUACUUCUAAGAUGGCACCAAGUAAUUCCAUGAUAAUGAAAUUAAAAAAUACGGAAUUUCUUAAAAUGCUAGCAUGCUAACAUUAGCAUGUUAAAAUUAGCACACAAACAUUAGCAUCCUAAGGGAACCAGCUAGCAUACAUAUAAGAUGGCGCCAAAAAAUAUGGCUUACUUUAACACUUUUUUUUUUAUGUUUUGGUUUUAUGAGUGGGUCCCUUAUGGAUACCGGAUCAUUUUUGUGGGAUUUUUUUUUUUUUUAAACUGGCAUUGCUCAAAAAAUAAUAAUGAAUCAAAAAUCAAUGUUAUGAAUUAUUGACCUAUUUAAUGCUCCAAAUACUUCACAUCAAAUAUUACACUUUGAAAUAUUUUGGGGGGAAAUAUUGCAUAUUUUGAGUGUUUGCCAUAACAAAAAGAAGUUCAUGUUGGCAAAAAAAAAAAGCAUAAAACAAACACAAAAAAAAAGAUUGAAAAAUAAUAAAUACUGGUACUUAUAAUCGAUGGAUGCAGCUGAAGUUGAUCUAGAGAUUUAAGUGUUGAAAGUUUAGUGUUGAAAGUUUUGCUCAAAAAAUAGUGAAGAUGUCAGCUGCUUCUAAGGGGAGGGGGUCAUAAACAGCUGCUGCACUGGGUCAUAAA